GCAGACGCUGGGAACCGCGGGAGGACGAGGUCGGAGCAGAGAAGUGGACAUGUGCACUGUGGGCUGGCGGCGCCGCCGGGCGCCCGGGGCCGUGUGGGUGCACUAGACAGUGUGCGGGCUGCGCCGUGGCUGAGCCGUCUGCUGGGGCGGUGUGGUGAGGUGCGGUGAGCUCUACCCGACUGGCAAGAGGAGGAGGGCCUAGGUCCACACGCUAGGUGGCUGCUGUCCAGGCGCCUGGCGUUUUGACUCUGUUCCUGUGGAUUGCUGCUUGUCCUGACGUUCCAGAGAGGCUCCUGUUCCUGAAACAGCGGUUUUGGAACUUCCUCUACGUGGAAUUUGUGGGGCCUUGGAAGACCCCGCUCACACCCGAAACCUCUGCCUGGAUUGGUUGCAGCCCGGGCCGCGCGCCGAGGAGGAGAUCAUUGCGCUCUCGGUCCUCGAGCAGAACUGACGGUCCUCCCAGAGCCGGUCGAGCCCCGGGCGCCGGCGAGGAGGCCGGGGGACUGCGAGGCGCUCGUCAGCCUGCGGGAGUGGCACGCAGAGAUGUACGAGCCCGAAGGUGAGCCCCGCCGAGAGGCUGG
rnacentral:lncRNA from 1 species